GGGUCAGUAGGUUGGUCGUGCCACCGGUACGUACUGGUCUCACUGAUUCCUCCUUCCUGAAGAACCGUAAUGCCAUUAAUUUGGUGUUGCGGGGAAACAGGACUGUUACUUUGAAAAAGUUAGAGUGUUUAAAGCAAGCUAACGCUCGAAUACAUUAGCAUGGAAUAAUGAAAUAGGACGAUCGAUCAUAUUUUGUUGGUUUCUAGGAUUGACGUA
rnacentral:rRNA from 1 species